CCCGCUGAACUUAAGCAUAUCAAUAAGCGGAGGAAAAGAAACUAACAAGGAUUCCCCUAGUAACUGCGAGUGAAGCGGGAAAAGCUCAAAUUUAAAAUCUGGCGGUCUCGCGGCCGUCCGAGUUGUAAUCUGGAGAAGCGUUUAUCCGCGUCGGACCGUGUACAAGUCUUCUGGAAGGGAGCGUCAUAGAGGGUGAGAAUCCCGUCUUUGGCACAGAUCCCAGGGCUUUGUGAUGCGCUCUCGACGAGUCGAGUUGUUUGGGGAUGCAGCUCUAAAUGGGUGGUAAAUUCCAUCUAAAGCUAAAUAUUGGCGAGAGACCGAUAGCGAACAAGUACCGUGAGGGAAAAAUGAAAAGAACUUUGAAAAGAGAGUUAAACAGUACGUGAAAUUGUUGAAAGGGAAACGCUUGAAGUCAGUCGCGUCCUCUAGGGAUCAAGUCGACUCUGGUCGACCGUACUUUCUAGUUGGAUGGGUCAGCAUCAAUUUUGAUCGCUGGACAAAGGCCUUGGGAAUGUGGCAUCCUCGGAUGUGUUAUAGACCAUGGUUCUUAUACAGUGGUUGGGAUUGAGGAACUCAGUGUGCCUUUGUGGUUGGGGCUUCGGCUCACAUCGCACGCUUAGGAUGCUGGCAUAAUGGCUUUAAUCGACCCGUCUUGAAACACGG
rnacentral:rRNA from 1 species